GACGAACGCUGGCGGCGUGCUUAACACAUGCAAGUCGAACGGAAAGGCCCUGCUUUUGUGGGGUGCUCGAGUGGCGAACGGGUGAGUAACACGUGUGUAACCUUCCCUUGACUUUGGGAUAACUUCAGGAACCUGGGGCUAAUACCGGAUAGGAUCUCCUGCUGCAUGGUGGGGGUUGGUAUGUUUCGGCGUUUGGGGAUGGACUCGCUGCUUAUCAGCUUGUUGGUGGGGUAGUGGCUUACCAAGGCUUUGACGGGUAGCCGGCCUGAGAGGGUGACCGGCGACAUGGGGACUGAGAUACGGCACAGAGUGAUACGGGAGGCAGCAGUGGGGAAUAUAGCAGAAUGGGCGGAAGCAAGAUGAAGAAACGCCGCGUGCGGGAUGAAGGCAAUCGGGUAGUAAACCGCAUUAGAAUGUGAAGAAGAGUGAGUGACGGUAAUGGGUAAAGAAGCACCGGCUAACUACGUG
rnacentral:rRNA from 1 species